CGUUUCGAUGCAGUAUGAGAUGAACAUUUUUUAAAUGUUUGUUUUAGCAGAUUAAUUAUUGUCAGCCUUCAUAGUUCGUUUUCUUGUAGAUUAUGUGAAAGUCGUGCUGGUAUUGCGACCAUAUCUAAAGGGAUUGUGGCCCACUUAAAGCGUGGUUAAAGUGAGUACUAUAACUGAACCCAGAGAAAAGAAGAAGAAGCGAAAUUUCUGUGUGAAAGGAGAAUUUAAUGAUCCAGGUUGUUCUUCUAUUAGCAGUUGUAAACAAAGUCACGAUCAGAAUUAUUGAAAAUAUUCUGCCCAAGGAAUGACGCCUUAAACGAUGAAAUUGCGGAGGCGAUCUUCAACAGUAUUGCGUAACAAUAUUGCCAUCAAACGACAAGCGAUAGGUUCCGGCGGUCAUCAACUAUUCAAGAUGGUAGACAUGUCAAUGUAAAAGACAGGAUUUUCAUUUCCGACCGCACGUGCAAGGAUUAUGUGUUUGAAACUUAGAUAAGUUUGCAGUAGAAUAUUAGGAAAAAAAACCGACUGUCCUUCAAACGGUUCGAAUGGAAGAUUUAUUCAUUCACCGAAGAAACGAGUCAAAUGACUCAAAUGUCAAAUGUGGUAUUUUUUAAACCCAUCCCCAGCAACGUCAACCUGCAGAAAGAAAAAGGCCAGUUUCUAUGGCGUUGACGCUCGAAGGUCACGGAGAUCAUUACGUAAAACGUGUCUUGCAGUGGUGUAGAGGUUGGGUGAGAACGACACGUGUUGCUUUAUUAUCAAAAAGGUCCAAUAGCCGCUAGGCUUAGGAGAAGAGGGUGAGAAAAAAAUCGUAUAAAGGAGAGAGAAAAGGUUGUUGAAACCAGUCGAGUGAGAAUCUCCGACCUGGCAACAACUUCAUUCUUCGUCGUAAUAUCAGUUCGCAAUCAUGGUUAAUUAUGGCGUUGUGUUGCUGCCGGGUGUUGCAUCGUUGAUGUCGACUGCGAGAGAAAUUUGUAUAAAAGGAAAGAGAAUAGGCGACAGAAGUCAAUCAAGUGAGCAUCUCCGACCCGUCAAAAACCGCAUUCUUCGUCGUAUUAACAGGUUGCAACUACGGCUAUUGGUUGUUUCGUCGAUUUCUGGGUCGACCACUGGUGUGCUGAUGCCCCUGGGUAUGGCGGAUACCAAACCGCAACGCCGCCGCCUUACUACACAACAACAUACGCAACGACAAGUUACUACACCGAGUUUGCACAGUUAGGUUUACAGUUACACCACCAAGGGUCCAGGUACACCACAACUUUUGCUGCUCCGAGCUACUACACCG